CAGAAAUGAUGGUCACAAGGGGUAGGAUAUCAAGGAGUAGCCAGUCAUUCACCCAAUUCCAACACACCUACAUGUCACACUGUCACAGAGAGCCACAGUUCCAGUAGUUCCCCUAAUUGACCAAAUCUCCCUUGCCAAAUCAAAAGAAAUCAUUCCUAGAAUUCUCUAAUCCUUCUAUUGAUGAUGGGAACUCCAGACACCAAUGGCUGGGGGAAAAAAAAACUUAACUCACACCAAGUUCCUCUACUUAUUACAGACAAAGGGCCAAAUCUUGGUCUUGAUCUGUGCCAAUCGACUUCAAAAGUUGUGACGUUCUUGGAUCAGUUCUGCUAGGGUGAGACCCGAAUUUGGAUCCCCAACAGUUCUGGAGUAUUUCAUCCUGGCAGCCUCAUUAACAUCAGGCUCCUGGGACUGCAACCAACUCAGGGUUAUUCAGUCCAUUUGAGGUUCACACCUGGAAGGUAAGUUUCUUUAAAAGUCAUCGCUAAAAAGAGGUUAGUUGAACAACCACUGCUUGCAGUCAAAAUUCAUUUUAAAAUGUCCUAGCAAUACCUUUUGAAGACCACAAUAUAUGAAUUUAAUAUUUAACUUUGAAACAUAAGAGACAGGUUAUCUGAUAGAUUUAUACCAGCUUACUUCGGAAGCAUGUCCCACCCCAUGCUAGAUCCAGCUGCAUUAAAAGUAAAAAUUAAUGGCAAACUAUAAAUUUUAAGAUCAUUUGCUUCACACAUAAACACAGACUAGCUGCAUGGUGGUCUCAAGAGAUCUCAAGUCUUGGCGACAUGCAUAUAGGGUACAACUUAUUACAGGUUCAUAACAUUUGCUUCUCAAUUCACAUAAAAGAGCAAAUUGCUGUGGUUUUGCUUUUUAAUUUUUUUUUUUUUUUUUUUUUUUUUUUUUUUGAGAGAGAGAGGAGCCACUCUUGCCCAGGCUGGAGUGCAGUGGCUAACUGCAGUCUCUCACUCCUGGGCUCAAGGGAUCCUCCAGCCUCAGCUUCCUGAAUAGUUGGGACUACAGGCACGAGCCACUGUACACAGCUGCUUUGUUAUCUUCUACAUAUAUACCAAAUGGAUAAGUUAGGAACACCAGAAACUCAGUAGUAACUCACUUUAACCUUGCUUCUGGGGCUCCAAUUCAAGUGAUGCUCAAUUUCAAGGUACAAGGAAAACCAUGAGAAUAUAAAGUCAUAAUGCCAUUUCCACUCAGAUGAAAAGAUUUAUCUAUCUUUAGAUACUCAAAAUUAUUCUUGGCAUUUUAGCACUUUUGGUACACAUUUCCUGAUGUAGGAAAUAGUAAAAUUUCAGAGCCUAUGGCAUUGGCUUUCACCACCUAUGCAAUUUUCUACACAUCUGAAAAUUACCAGUUUAUCUAACUCCUUAAAUGUUCCUCUCUUCAACAACAAAAAACACAAAACAAAAAUUGCUGGGAGAAACAGGAAGCAUCCAGGUCCAAAUGACAGCAUAACAGGCCAUGAAGAAACAGGGCUUAAGUGCCCAUCUAGAACAAGAUGGUCUAGAUUACAAUAAGGACCCCAUGGGACAGAACAUCAAAACAUUCAACUUUCAAGUAAAUGUCUUGGAAGUAAACAUUUAAAAUUUAUAGGACUUCCUCUGGCAUGUAGAUAUGAUAUUAGAAGAGUUUCCUUUGACAAAGGACAAUGACCCAAGAAGUAGGUUUUUUUUUUUAAGUAAAGGAGAGACAGUCUCACUCUGUUGCCCAGGCUGGAAUACAGUGGUGUGAUCAUAGCUCACUGCAGCCUCUUUUAACUCCUGGGCUCAAGCGAUCCUUCCAACCUCAGCAUUCUGAGUAGCUGGGAUCACAGGUGCUCCCCAUCACACCCUGCUAAUUUAAUUUUCUUUGUAGAGACAGGGUCUUGCUAUGUUGCCUAGGCUGGUCUUGAACUCCUGGGCUCAAGUGAUCCUCCCGCCUCAGCCUCCCAGUGUUAGGAUUACAGGAGUGAGCCACUGCCUCUGCCUUCAGGUAGCAAUUUUAUUAGCAAACUAUAAGCCUAAAGUAAUAGUUAAAAUUCUCACUGUGAUAUUCAUUACUAACCCCUGAACCUGUACCCUUCAGCUUACCACUACAGUACUUCUGUAGUAGAGCGAGUAUGGGUUUUGGUAUCAGACAGGUCCAAAUUUGAAUUCUGAUUCUACCUUUCAUUUAUCAAAUGACUUUGGGCAAAGUACUUAACCUCUCUGAGCUUUAGUUCCCUUCUCUGUAAAAGAAUAAAAUAUUUCAGUCUUAUCGUGUAGAUGAUAUACAGAGGGCACAUAACAAAUGUUAGAUCUCUCAAAUGUUUUUCUGUAACCCAAAUAUGCUUACAACUGAUUAAAGAAUGUUCUCACU
rnacentral:antisense_RNA from 1 species